AAGAUUAAGCCAUGCAUGUCUAAGUAUAAGCAAUUAUACAGCGAAACUGCGAAUGGCUCAUUAUAUAAGUUAUCGUUUAUUUGAUAGUACCUUACUACUUGGAUAACCGUGGUAAUUCUAGAGCUAAUACAUGCUAAAAAUCCCGACUUCGGAAGGGAUGUAUUUAUUAGAUUAAAAACCAAUGCCCUCUGGGCUCCUUGGUGAUUCAUGAUAACUUCUCGAAUCGCAUGGCCUUGUGCCGGCGAUGGUUCAUUCAAAUUUCUUCCCUAUCAACUUUCGAUGUUUGGGUAGUGGCCAAACAUGGUUGCAACGGGUAACGGAGGGUUAGGGCUCGACCCCGGAGAAGGAGCCUGAGAAACGGCUACUACAUCCAAGGAAGGCAGCAGGCGCGCAAAUUACCCAAUCCCGACACGGGGAGGUAGUGACAAUAAAUACUGAUACAGGGCUCUUUUGGGUCUUGUAAUUGGAAUGAGUACAAUUUAAAUCCCUUAACGAGGAACAAUUGGAGGGCAAGUCUGGUGCCAGCAGCCGCGGUAAUUCCAGCUCCAAUAGCGUAUAUUAAAGUUGUUGUGGUUAAAAAGCUCGUAGUUGAACCUUGGGCCUGGCUGGCCGGUCCGCCUCACCGCGUGUACUGGUCCGGCCGGGCCUUUCCCUCUGUGGAACCCCAUGCCCUUCACUGGGUGUGGCGGGGAAACAGGACUUUUACUUUGAAAAAAUUAGAGUGCUCCAGGCAGGCCUAUGCUCGAAUACAUUAGCAUGGAAUAAUAGAAUAGGACGUGUGGUUCUAUUUUGUUGGUUUCUAGGACCGCCGUAAUGAUUAAUAGGGACAGUCGGGGGCAUCAGUAUUCAAUUGUCAGAGGUGAAAUUCUUGGAUUUAUUGAAGACUAACUACUGCGAAAGCAUUUGCCAAGGAUGUUUUCAUUAAUCAGGAACGAAAGUUAGGGGAUCGAAGACGAUCAGAUACCGUCGUAGUCUUAACCAUAAACUAUGCCGACUAGGGAUCGGACGAUGUUAUUUAUUGACUCGUUCGGCACCUUACGAGAAAUCAAAGUGCUUGGGCUCCAGGGGGAGUAUGGUCGCAAGGCUGAAA
rnacentral:rRNA from 1 species